rnacentral:rRNA from 1 species
GACGAACCGUGCGAACGUUAUUCGGAAUCACUGGGCUUAAAGCGCGUGUAGGCGGGAGGGCACGUCCGUCGCUGAAAUCCCCCGGCUCAACCGGGGAACGGGCGCGGAUACGACCUUCCUGGAGGGGCGUAGGGGGACCUGGAACUUCCGGUGGAGCGGUGAAAUGCGUUGAGAUCGGAAGGAACGCCCGUGGCGAAAGCGAGGUCCUGGACGCCUACUGACGCUGAGACGCGAAAGCCAGGGGAGCGGAACGGG